rnacentral:sRNA from 1 species
CAGAAGCGGCGGGUACUUGAAGCGGAGUGAGCCGGAAGUCGCUUUGCCUGCCCACUUCCACGCUGUACCGGCGGAAAUUCAAGCACUGGAAGAGAGGUUCCGGGGCUGGCCUGGCCUGACUGAAGGCGGCGGAAUGGAGACCCGGACCGAGGACGGGAGCCUCACCCGCCGCCCCACGCUGGCCUCUUCUUGGGAUGUUGCAGGCGGGGUCCUGACCCACAGCCUCCUCCUCACCCGGGCCGGUCUCGGCCCUGGUGACUUCGACUGGGAGGAGCUGCUGGCACCGCCUGCUCCAGGGAUCCGGUGAUUUUGAAGAGAAACCUCAACAACAAAGAUGAAAACCCCUGCUUCCUUUACCUGAGGUGUGGCCCUGAUGGAGGUGAAGAAAUCGCUUCUAUUGGCAUUUUAAGUUCAGCAAGAAAUAUGGAAGUGUACUUAGGAGAGGAGUACUGUGGAACCAGUAGGGGCAAGAAUGUUUGUACUGUCCUGGAUGACAGUGAACAUGAAAAGAUCAUUUUGUACAAAAAAUAUCUAAAAUUGGAGUCCUCCACACAUGCUUGUAAAAUAAAGUUGCUGUCCUUUGGCGAAAGGCAGUGUGUGUUCAUCAGUAAAGUUGUGGUACACAUGAGAUCAGUUUUUGCAAAUUCUUCAACAAGCUCUCCUGCUCUAGGAUCAAGGAUAGACCUUGACAAGGUCCAAACCAUAAUGGAGUCCAUGGGGUCAAAGUUAUCUCCUGGAGCUCAGCAGUUGAUGGAUAUGGUUAGGUUUCAGCAGCGGAAUUGUAUUCCCAUUGGAGAGCAGCUUAAGUUGGUGUUGGGCAAUUCUGGAUACAAGCAUAUGAUUGGACUACAAUCCUCACCUACCUUAGGAGCCUUAGACAAGUCAUCCUCCACACCUUUUCCUUUUAGAACUGGAUUGACAUCUGGGAACGUGACUGAAAACUUGCAAACUUACAUCGAUAAAAGUACACAACUGCCUGGUGGAGAGAAUUCUACCAAGCUUGAUGAGUGUAAAAUUAUGCCUCAAAACCAUUCCUUUCUUGAAAAUGAUCUUAAAAAUGCAAUGGCCUCUUUCUUAUCAAAGAAAGCAAGUGACAACUCAAAUAUACCUAACUCUGAGUUGCUGCCUUUUCUCCAGAAUUUUUGUAGUCAAGUUAAUCAUCUCCAUGUGGGAAAUAAGACCGAGUGUCAGGAAAACAUCACCAAGCAUGGUGAACGCAUUCUUGGUGUUGGAAUGGAAGAGCAACCUGUUUGCUCCUACUUGGAAAAGAUUCUUUCUAAAAAUAUGGAACUGAUGGAAAAGAAACUUACGGAUUACAUUGAUCAGCGAAUACAUAAACUCCAGGAGCACAUUGAUGAUAAGAUUUCUUUGUUAAUGGAUUUGCUGCAAAAUCCUAACUCCCCGCCCACUGGGAUACCUCUAAGACAUUAUGACUCUGGAGAAAGACUUUCAAAUGGAGAAAGAUGAGCUCUCAACAUAAACAGUGUACUGCAGAUAUUUAUUACAUAUUUAUUACAAAGCCAAAACCCAAAAAUAUUUAUAAAAAGCAAGGAUUUAAUGUCCUUUGAGGGAUCAUUGUCUUACACAAAGUGACCUCAGUUUUCGUUUUUACUACACUUGUUAUUUUAAAUCCAGUACUGUGCACUGAGUUAAUAUGAUACAGUCAAAUUAUUUUUGCUCACUAUAUUUUUCAGUCUUACAGAAAUGUAUGUAUACUUGUGUUAAGAGUUUAAAAUGCUUGAGGAUUUCUAAUACAGUUCAUUAGUUUGUAUUGUAUAUGUGUUUAAGUAUAAUUUUUAUUUAUACAAAGAUCUUAUAGUCUUAGAAAUAUGAAAAAUAAUGCUUAGAGUAUUUGAUUUUUUUUUCUUUUUCUAAUUAUCUUGGAAAAUUGGAUACUUAAGACUUGGAGCCUUUAAUUCAGAUUACCGAUUUACAUUUUGUAUUGCUUGUGUGAGAUAAUGAAUAAGAUGUGAUAUUUGGCAUGUGUAAAAUUAGUUCACUCUGGGGCUGUUAAUAUUAUUUGUUUCAUUACAGAGUAGCUGUAGGUAGGAAAGUAAACAUCAGUACUAGCCUAGUCCUUGUUACGAUUAGUACUUUGGAUUUGAUUUUUCCUGUAAAACAGAUGCAGUCAUCUUGUUUGACCUCAGUAACCCCAGACAGUAUAAGAAAACCUCUCCUUUUGAGCUGAUACAGGUUUUCUCCCCAGAAUCCUUUUCUGGCAUGUUUAUUGUAUGAAAUAAUGAGGCUCUCCAUGGAAGGAUGAACACAUAUGAGUCAAGGGAUUGCAAUUCUCUCUGAUAGACUUAGUUUUCAGAUCUUAUAACUAUUGUAUAUGCAUUGAAGGGUGAUGUAUUUGCAUAUAAAAAUAAAUGCACCUGCUCUGAGAACUACUUGUCUUUAGUUGGUAGAACUGUUUUAUUUUCAACUAAUCUUUAUCUUGCAUGACAUAGCUGAAUUUUUACCCUGCCCUAACUCUGCUUAUCUUUAAGAAACAGGAUGCCUGUGAUGAAAAGUUCCCUUUGUAACCAGUCCAGAGGAGACUGGUUACAACCACGAUAGCUGACCAAAUGACUUUAAAAAGACCUCAGCCUUUUUUAUAAUCUUAUUUCUGUGCUAAAUGACACUCCCGCCAGCGCCAUGACAGUUGACAGUCGCCAUGACAGUGACCAGAAGAAGCCAUGAAAGGACAAAAAGGAAGGCAGCACUCUGGUUUUCGGAAGUUUACUGCCCAUUUCUGAAAAAUCCAUGAAUAUUCCUCCCUUUGCUUUAAUGUGAAACACCUUUAUCAGAAAAAUUAUAUUUUAAUGCCCUCACUCCUCAUUAGUUGAAAAGUUGAUUUGUGAGCCAUGCUCCUGCUUCUCAAUUCAGUGGCAAUUGAAUAAAACCUGCACUGUUUGUCACUC